CCUACGGGUGGCAGCAGUCGAGAAUCAUGCACAAUGGGGGAAACCCUGAUGGUGCGACGCCGCGUGGGGGAAUGAAGGUCUUCGGAUUGUAAACCCCAGUCAUGUGGGAGCAAAUUAAAAAGAUAGUACCACAAGAGGAAGAGAAGGAUAACUCUGUGCCAGCAGCCGCGGUAAUACAGAGGUCUCAAGCUGUGUUCGGAAUCACUGGGCGUAAAGCGUGCGUAGGCUGUUUCGUAAGUCGUGUGUGAAAGGCGCGGGCUCAACCCGCGGACGGCACAUGAUACUGCCAGACUAGAGUAAGGGAGGGGGAACCGGAAUUCCCGGUGUAGCAGUGAAAUGCGGAGAUAUCGAGAGGAACACUCGUGGCGAAGGCGGGUUCCUGGACAUUAACUGACGCUGAGGCACGAAGGCCAGGGGAGCGAAAGGGAUUAGAUACCCUAGUAGUC
rnacentral:rRNA from 1 species